rnacentral:rRNA from 1 species
UGCAAGUCGAGCGAAUGAUGAAGAAGCUUGCUUCUUCUGAUUUAGCGGCGGACGGGUGAGUAACACGUGGGCAACCUGCCCUGUAGAUUGGGAUAACUCCGGGAAACCGGGGCUAAUACCGAAUAAUCCAUUUCCUCACAUGAGGAGAUGUUAAAAGACGGUUUCUGCUGUCACUACAGGAUGGGCCCGCGGCGCAUUAGCUAGUUGGUGGGGUAAUGGCUCACCAAGGCGACGAUGCGUAGCCGACCUGAGAGGGUGAUCGGCCACAUUGGGACUGAGACACGGCCCAAUUCU